rnacentral:rRNA from 1 species
CAUGGCUGUGUUCCAGCUCGUGCCGUGAGGUGUUAGGUUAAGUCCUGCAACGAGCGCAACCCCUGUCACUAGUUGCCAUCAUUAAGUUGGGGACUCUAGUGAGACUGCCUACGCAAGUAGAGAGGAAGGUGGGGAUGACGUCAAAUCAUCACGGCCCUUACGCCUUGGGCCACACACGUAAUACAAUGGCCGGUACAGAGGGCAGCUACACAGCGAUGUGAUGCAAAUCUCGAAAGCCGGUCUCAGUUCGGAUUGGAGUCUGCAACUCGACUCUAUGAAGCUGGAAUCGCUAGUAAUCGCGCAUCAGCCAUGGCGCGGUGAAUACGUUCCCGGGCCUUGUACACACCGCCCGUCAAGCCAUGGAAGUCUGGGGUACCUGAAGUCGGUGACCGUAACAGGAGCUGCCUAUAGUUACCCU